AACGAACGCUGGCGGCAUGCCUAACACAUGCAAGUCGAACGUAGGCUUCGGCCUUAGUGGCGCACGGGUGCGUAACGCGUGGGAAUCUGCCCUUAGGUUCGGAAUAACAGUUAGAAAUGACUGCUAAUACCGGAUGACGACGUAAGUCCAAAGAUUUAUCGCCUGAGGAUGAGCCCGCGUAGGAUUAGCUAGUUGGUGUGGUAAAGGCGCACCAAGGCGACGAUCCUUAGCUGGUCUGAGAGGAUGAUCAGCCACACUGGGACUGAGACACGGCCCAGACUCCUACGGGAGGCAGCAGUGGGGAAUAUUGGACAAUGGGCGCAAGCCUGAUCCAGCAAUGCCGCGUGAGUGAUGAAGGCCUUAGGGUUGUAAAGCUCUUUUACCCGUGAUGAUAAUGACAGUAGCGGGAGAAUAAGCCCCGGCUAACUCCGUG
rnacentral:rRNA from 1 species